rnacentral:sRNA from 1 species
AGCGGAGGACGCCGGCUGUCGAAAAAA